GCUACUGAAUCACUAAUUGAUUUUAUCAAUGUGAAGUGCUAAGGGAAAAUAAUGAUACUACCUUAGUAAAAGUGUUGUCAAAUUCUGGUGCCAGAAGACUCGGUAAUGCCAGCAACGCGAACGUUAGUCAUCAUAUUCAGGCGUAAAGGGUUUGUAGGCAGCUUUUUUCCAACAAAACUAUUAGAUAAGAUACACAGACAAAUAUUUAAUAGUUAGAGAUUAGAGCUAGAAUCAAAUAGGAGUUAAAACGUAUAAUACUUAGAGUAGAGUUUAUAUCCACAGAUCCUAAGUGGAAUACUAACGGUGUAAACAACUAACUAUAAAUGAUUGACGCUGAGACACGAAGGUGAGGACAGGAAAAAGGAUUAGAGACCCUAGUACCCCUCUCUGUAAACGAUGAAUGGUAGUUUUUAGUGUAUACUAGUUACGAUGUUAACGCGUUAACCAUUCCGCCUUGAGAGUACUACUGCAAAGUUGAAAACAAAAAAAUUAGUCGGUCUCGAAGCAAACGGAGUGAAGCAUGU
rnacentral:rRNA from 1 species